rnacentral:misc_RNA from 1 species
AGUCGUAACAAGGUAUCCGUAGGUGAACCUGCGGAUGGAUCAUUACCAAAGGAUUUUUCCUGACGUUCUGUGAACUGUAUUGAAUGCAUGGUUAGUGGUGUGUUUUGUAGAGAUUAAUCUCUCUACAUCAAAACCACUAACUGUAAACAAAACGUAUUUACUCUAUAAACUGACGUCUGCUUUAGCUUAAUAAACUAAAGACAACUUUUAGCAAUGGAUCUCUUGGCUCUC